rfam:Nicotiana attenuata strain TT chromosome 7, whole genome shotgun sequence.
GGGAUAUGAUGAGUGGUCAAUGCUCGCAUUUAAAUAUGCGAGAAGGGCGUCCAGCUCAGCCUGUUACGACAGUUUGGGCGCUCUCAUUUUACUAAUCUGAUCCC